UGGGGAAUUUUGGACAAUGGGCGAAAGCCUGAUCCAGCAAUGCCGCGUGUGUGAAGAAGGCCUUCGGGUUGUAAAGCACUUUUGUCCGGAAAGAAAUCCUUGGCUCUAAUACAGUCGGGGGAUGACGGUACCGGAAGAAUAAGCACCGGCUAACUACGUGCCAGCAGCCGCGGUAAUACGUAGGGUGCAAGCGUUAAUCGGAAUUACUGGGCGUAAAGCGUGCGCAGGCGGUUUGCUAAGACCGAUGUGAAAUCCCCGGGCUCAACCUGGGAACUGCAUUGGUGACUGGCAGGCUAGAGUAUGGCAGAGGGGGGUAGAAUUCCACGUGUAGCAGUGAAAUGCGUAGAGAUGUGGAGGAAUACCGAUGGCGAAGGCAGCCCCCUGGGCCAAUACUGACGCUCAUGCACGAAAGCGUGGGGAGCAAACAGGAUUAGAUACCCUGGUAGUCUACGCCCUAAACGAUGUCAACCAGUUGUUGGGGAUUCAUUUCCUUAGUAACGUAGCUAACGCGUGAAGUUGACCGCCU
rnacentral:rRNA from 1 species